GCCCAAACCUUCGUUCAGCCCUUGAAGACCCGCCGGCAAGCUCUCACCUACAUCAUAACAUUUAGCUUUCAGCCUCACAUGAUCCUCACAACUAACCUGACCAACGCCUCACAUAGUUGCCUCCAAAUCCCUCAAAAAUCCUGCCGAGGCCUUCCCACACUCAAAGAACCGCAACUUCGGUAAAAACACCUCUACAUGCUUACCAGAUCUCAUAGCUUCGGCGCAUGCGCCAUUGGGAUCAUACGAAAAUGCAUCCACAAGUUUCACUUUUUCGGCAGCUACCCUCUUCUCAUGUUUUCCAGCUUCAAUCAAGAGAGGCUGCACGCCCUUAG
rnacentral:lncRNA from 1 species